rnacentral:rRNA from 1 species
AGUGAACGCUGGCGGUAGGCCUAACACAUGCAAGUCGAACGGCAGCACAGUAAGAGCUUGCUCUUACGGGUGGCGAGUGGCGGACGGGUGAGGAAUACAUCGGAAUCUACUUUUUCGUGGGGGAUAACGUAGGGAAACUUACGCUAAUACCGCAUAUGACCUACGGGUGAAAGCAGGGGAUCUUCGGACCUUGCGCGAUUGAAUGAGCCGAUGUCGGAUUAGCUAGUUGGCGGGGUAAAGGCCCACCAAGGCGACGAUCCGUAGCUGGUCUGAGAGGAUGAUCAGCCACACUGGAACUGAGACACGGUCCAGACUCCUACGGGAGGCAGCAGUGGGGAAUAUUGGACAAUGGGCGCAAGCCUGAUCCAGCCAUACCGCGUGAGUGAAGAAGGCCUUCGGGUUGUAAAGCCCUUUUGUUGGGAAAGAAAAGCAGCAGGUUAAUACCCCGCUGUUCUGACGGUACCCAAAGAAUAAGCACCGGCUAACUUCGUG